GGGUCGAUGGCGUAGCCGGUUAUCGCAUCUGUCUUACAUCCAACAUCGCCUCAGUGUGUGCACAGAAGGUCCUCAGUUCGAAACUGGGUCGACUCA